GUCUCCUCUGAUGAAGCAAGCUGCUGUGGUGUGAGCUGCCCUCUGGAGAAACUCACAUAGCAAGGAACAGGGAGUGACUGCCAGCCAACAACCAGAGAGGAACCGAGGCCCUCAUCCAACAGCCUGUGAGGAACUGACUCCUACCAACAGCCACUGGUCUCUUUUAGGUUUGACUGUUUCCCUGUCUCUGAAAAACUAGCCAGUGUCAUAUUCGCUGCUGUAAUGAACAGCAAAGUAUGUGUCCAGGCUCUGUGCUGCAGUGAGUAAAGCCAGCUGUUAGUACUCUUCAGGUAUGAGCUUUAUAUAAUGAAAAGAUAACAGAUAUUAUUACUUUCUAAUUGUGGAGAAGUUAAGGACGUUGCCAAAAGUCACUCAGCUAGUGACAGUACAUCUGGGAUUUUAACAGCGAUGUUUGUCUCUGAGGCUUCUACCCUUUUCUAUCAAAUGCUUGCACAGUUCCGUCCAUUGUUAUACAAGUAGCCAAUAUUGCUAAAACGAUGAACAUAGCAAGAUGUUAUCAUCCUAAUGAUCAUUUAAAGCUACAAAACGGAGUUAAAUGCGGGUUGCACCCUUCACAAGUGCUUUCUACUUCUACCUGCCACUCACUUUCAGCCGAGUGAAACUGAUCACAUCCUAGACUCUUUACUCAAUCUUGUACAUUCUGUCACCAUAGCCCCUGUAACAAGUAAUUGUGCUUCUUUAAAGAGUCUUCCUCUUGUGAAACUAUUACUAGCCCCUUGACAUAAGGGACAAUGACAUUCUUGUUAGGUGGUAGGUGUAUAGGGGUUUAUUUCAUUAUGCUUCACAACUCAUAUAUAUAUAGACAUAUAAAUACUUUAAUGUAUAUUAAAUGUCAUGCAAUACAUUAAAAACAAAA